ensembl:lncRNA
CUUCCCUCCUAGUUCAGUGGGUAAAGAAUCUACCUGCAAUGCAGGAGACCCCAGUUCAAUUCCUGGGUUAGGAAGAUCUGCUGGAGCAGGGAAAAGCUAUGCACUCCAGUAUUCUUGGGCUUCCUUUGUGGCUCAGCUCAUAAAGAAUCUGCCUGCAAUGCGGGAGACCUGGGUUUGAUCCCUGAGUUGGGAAGAUCCCCUGGAGAAGGGAAAGGCUACCCACUGUAGUAUUCUGGCUUGGAGAAUUCCAUGGACUGUAUAUUCCAUGGGGUUGCAAAGAAUCAGACAUGACUGAGCGACUUUCACUUUUCACUUUGACCCUGGAAGGAUGAGGAAAGUACUGGAAGGCCUGAGAAUUUUAGUUGAUUGGAUUAAAAGUUAUUCUGGAAGAACUCCACCUUCCUAGACACGAGAUACCCUUUCUUAUACCUUCACCAAGCCUUCUGAUGGAUCAUACCAAGAUUCCUUUUAAUGUAGAGAUUAUCCAAUGGCCAGUAAGUAAACAAACUCUCAUGGAAGAGCUCAAUACUGAUCUCUAUACAGUUUCUUUUGAACUGCCCAAACUGUCACUGUGGGACUUGAAAAAAAUGCAAGUAAACCGGAAAAAACUAAUGAAUACUUUAUUAGCAAAAGCCAAAAGAGAAAACCUACCACAUUAUGUAAGAUUAUGGGAAAAAGCUGAAAUGUUGGUUUGAACAGAAUUUUGAAUUUCCAUACCCUUACUUAACCUAACGUUGAAUUUGUUGGAGGACUGCAAUACAAUUCUGCAAAGUCUCUGCCUAAGGUAAUUAACCAUGCUUCUUUUUACUUCUCUGAGUACUUACUUCCUGGAAUGAUUUCCAGUUUAUUAGUUUAGCAUUUAACACUCAAACUGAAAACCUGAGCACAGGAAUUAAUGGGAAUUAUCCACCUUAGAUUGUUAUGCUACCAGAAGUAUUUAAUUCAUUAUUGUGGUAAUCAUUUGUGAUGCUCAACAAAUAUGCCAGAUAUUUGACAACAAUAAUGCCCUAGUCCUUGAGUUUAGUACACUUGUGCAAAACUCUCUGACCAAUGAAAAUGAGCUGAAGUGGCAUGUAUCACUUCCAGGUCCAACACAUAACUGUUAGGUCCAGAUACUCCAGGGGCUUCCCCGGUGGCUCAGCAGUAAAGAAUCUGCCAACAAUGCAGGAGCUACAGGAGACUUGGGUUUGAUUCCUGGGUUGGGAAGAUCUCCUGGAGGAGGGUAUGGCAACCCACUCCAGUUGUUCUUGCCUAGAGAAUCCCAUGGCAGGCUACAGUCCAUAGGGUCGCAAAGUCCAGUGUUCUUGCCUGGAGAAUCCCAUGGCAGGCUACAGUCCAUAGGGUCGCAAAGAAUCGGACAUGAGUGAAGCGACUUAGCUCGCUAGAUACUCCAGAGUUCUCUUAUCCUUUGUGAUGUCAACAGGAUGUGUCCCAAUGUUGCUACUCUGUCGACUUGUUA